CCUACGGGUGGCUGCAGUGGGGAAUAUUGCGCAAUGGGCGAAAGCCUGACGCAGCGACGCCGCGUGAGGGAUGACGGCCUUCGGGUUGUAAACCUCUUUCAGCAGGGAAGAAUAAUGACGGUACCUGAGGAAUAAGUCUCGGCUAACUACGUGCCAGCAGCCGCGGUAAUACGUAGGGCGCGAGCGUUAUCCGGAAUUAUUGGGCGUAAAGAGCUCGUAGGCGGUUUGUCGCGUCUGCCGUGAAAGUCCGGGGCUCAACUCCGGAUCUGCAGUGGGUACGGGCAGACUAGAGUGAUGUAGGGGAGACUGGAAUUCCUGGUGUAGCGGUGAAAUGCGCAGAUAUCAGGAGGAACACCGAUGGCGAAGGCAGGUCUCUGGGCAUUAACUGACGCUGAGGAGCGAAAGCGUGGGGAGCGAACAGGAUUAGAUACCCUUGUAGUC
rnacentral:rRNA from 1 species